rnacentral:rRNA from 1 species
GGUUAAGCGACUAAGCGUACACGGUGGAUGCCCUGGCAGUCAGAGGCGAUGAAGGACGUGCUAAUCUGCGAUAAGCGUCGGUAAGGUGAUAUGAACCGUUAUAACCGGCGAUUUCCGAAUGGGGAAACCCAGUGUGUUUCGACACACUAUCAUUAACUGAAUCCAUAGGUUAAUGAGGCGAACCGGGGGAACUGAAACAUCUAAGUACCCCGAGGAAAAGAAAUCAACCGAGAUUCCCCCAGUAGCGGCGAGCGAACGGGGAGCAGCCCAGAGCCUGAAUCAGUGUGUGUGUUAGUGGAAGCGUCUGGAAAGGCGCGCGAUACAGGGUGACAGCCCCGUACACAAAAAUGCACAUGCUGUGAGCUCGAUGAGUAGGGCGGGACACGUGGUAUCCUGUCUGAAUAUGGGGGGACCAUCCUCCAAGGCUAAAUACUCCUGACUGACCGAUAGUGAACCAGUACCGUGAGGGAAAGGCGAAAAGAACCCCGGCGAGGGGAGUGAAAAAGAACCUGAAACCGUGUACGUACAAGCAGUGGGAGCACGCUUAGGCGUGUGACUGCGUACCUUUUGUAUAAUGGGUCAGCGACUUAUAUUCUGUAGCAAGGUUAACCGAAUAGGGGAGCCGAAGGGAAACCGAGUCUUAACUGGGCGUUAAGUUGCAGGGUAUAGACCCGAAACCCGGUGAUCUAGCCAUGGGCAGGUUGAAGGUUGGGUAACACUAACUGGAGGACCGAACCGACUAAUGUUGAAAAAUUAGCGGAUGACUUGUGGCUGGGGGUGAAAGGCCAAUCAAACCGGGAGAUAGCUGGUUCUCCCCGAAAGCUAUUUAGGUAGCGCCUCGUGAAUUCAUCUCCGGGGGUAGAGCACUGUUUCGGCAAGGGGGUCAUCCCGACUUACCAACCCGAUGCAAACUGCGAAUACCGGAGAAUGUUAUCACGGGAGACACACGGCGGGUGCUAACGUCCGUCGUGAAGAGGGAAACAACCCAGACCGCCAGCUAAGGUCCCAAAGUCAUGGUUAAGUGGGAAACGAUGUGGGAAGGCCCAGACAGCCAGGAUGUUGGCUUAGAAGCAGCCAUCAUUUAAAGAAAGCGUAAUAGCUCACUGGUCGAGUCGGCCUGCGCGGAAGAUGUAACGGGGCUAAACCAUGCACCGAAGCUGCGGCAGCGACACUAUGUGUUGUUGGGUAGGGGAGCGUUCUGUAAGCCUGUGAAGGUGUGCUGUGAGGCAUGCUGGAGGUAUCAGAAGUGCGAAUGCUGACAUAAGUAACGAUAAAGCGGGUGAAAAGCCCGCUCGCCGGAAGACCAAGGGUUCCUGUCCAACGUUAAUCGGGGCAGGGUGAGUCGACCCCUAAGGCGAGGCCGAAAGGCGUAGUCGAUGGGAAACAGGUUAAUAUUCCUGUACUUGGUGUUACUGCGAAGGGGGGACGGAGAAGGCUAUGUUGGCCGGGCGACGGUUGUCCCGGUUUAAGCGUGUAGGCUGGUUUUCCAGGCAAAUCCGGAAAAUCAAGGCUGAGGCGUGAUGACGAGGCACUACGGUGCUGAAGCAACAAAUGCCCUGCUUCCAGGAAAAGCCUCUAAGCAUCAGGUAACAUCAAAUCGUACCCCAAACCGACACAGGUGGUCAGGUAGAGAAUACCAAGGCGCUUGAGAGAACUCGGGUGAAGGAACUAGGCAAAAUGGUGCCGUAACUUCGGGAGAAGGCACGCUGAUAUGUAGGUGAAGUCCCUUGCGGAUGGAGCUGAAAUCAGUCGAAGAUACCAGCUGGCUGCAACUGUUUAUUAAAAACACAGCACUGUGCAAACACGAAAGUGGACGUAUACGGUGUGACGCCUGCCCGGUGCCGGAAGGUUAAUUGAUGGGGUCAGCGCAAGCGAAGCUCUUGAUCGAAGCCCCGGUAAACGGCGGCCGUAACUAUAACGGUCCUAAGGUAGCGAAAUUCCUUGUCGGGUAAGUUCCGACCUGCACGAAUGGCGUAAUGAUGGCCAGGCUGUCUCCACCCGAGACUCAGUGAAAUUGAACUCGCUGUGAAGAUGCAGUGUACCCGCGGCAAGACGGAAAGACCCCGUGAACCUUUACUAUAGCUUGACACUGAACAUUGAGCCUUGAUGUGUAGGAUAGGUGGGAGGCUUUGAAGUGUGGACGCCAGUCUGCAUGGAGCCGACCUUGAAAUACCACCCUUUAAUGUUUGAUGUUCUAACGUGGACCCGUGAUCCGGGUUGCGGACAGUGUCUGGUGGGUAGUUUGACUGGGGCGGUCUCCUCCUAAAGAGUAACGGAGGAGCACGAAGGUUGGCUAAUCUUGGUCGGACAUCAGGAGGUUAGUGCAAUGGCAUAAGCCAGCUUGACUGCGAGCGUGACGGCGCGAGCAGGUGCGAAAGCAGGUCAUAGUGAUCCGGUGGUUCUGAAUGGAAGGGCCAUCGCUCAACGGAUAAAAGGUACUCCGGGGAUAACAGGCUGAUACCGCCCAAGAGUUCAUAUCGACGGCGGUGUUUGGCACCUCGAUGUCGGCUCAUCACAUCCUGGGGCUGAAGUAGGUCCCAAGGGUAUGGCUGUUCGCCAUUUAAAGUGGUACGCGAGCUGGGUUUAGAACGUCGUGAGACAGUUCGGUCCCUAUCUGCCGUGGGCGCUGGAGAACUGAGGGGGGCUGCUCCUAGUACGAGAGGACCGGAGUGGACGCAUCACUGGUGUUCGGGUUGUCAUGCCAAUGGCACUGCCCGGUAGCUAAAUGCGGAAGAGAUAAGUGCUGAAAGCAUCUAAGCACGAAACUUGCCCCGAGAUGAGUUCUCCCUGACCCUUUAAGGGUCCUGAAGGAACGUUGAAGACGACGACGUUGAUAGGCCGGGUGUGUAAGCGCAGCGAUGCGUUGAGCUAACCGGUACUAAUGAACCGUGAGGCUUAACCUU